UACGUAGGGUGCAAGCGUUAAUCGGAAUUACUGGGCGUAAAGCGCACGUAGGCGGCUUGGUAUGUCGGGUGUGAAAUCCCCGUGCUCAACCUGGGAACUGCAUCCGAAACGGCCUUGCUAGAGUAUGGGAGAGGGAAGUGGAAUUUCAGGUGUAGCAGUGAAAUGCGUAGAUAUCGGAAGGAACACCAGUGGCGAAGGCGACUUCCUGGACCAAUACUGACGCUCAGGUGAGAAAGCGUGGGGAGCAAACAGG
rnacentral:rRNA from 1 species